GACGAACGCUGGCGGCGUGCUUAACACAUGCAAGUCGAACGGUAAGGCCCUUCGGGGUACACGAGUGGCGAACGGGUGAGUAACACGUGGGUGAUCUGCCCUGCACUUUGGGAUAAGCCUGGGAAACUGGGUCUAAUACCGAAUACACCCUGCUGGCUGCAUGGCCUGGUGGGGGAAAGCUUUUGCGGUGUGGGAUGGGCCCGCGGCCGAUCAGCUUGUUGGUGGGGUGAUGGCCUACCAAGGCGACGACGGGUAGCCGGCCUGAGAGGGUGACCGGCCACACUGGGACUGAGAUACGGCCCAGACUCCUACGGGAGGCAGCAGUGGGGAAUAUUGCACAAUGGGCGCAAGCCUGAUGCAGCGACGCCGCGUGGGGGAUGACGGCCUUCGGGUUGUAAACCUCUUUCAGUAGGGACGAAGCGCAAGUGACGGUACCUACAGAAGAAGGACCGGCCAACUACGUGCCAGCCGCCGCCGUAA
rnacentral:rRNA from 1 species